AUUUAUAUAGUAUAUAUAUAGUAUAUAUGACUUCCAAUCAUAAGGUUUGUAAAUAACAAUAUAAAUA
rnacentral:tRNA from 1 species